rnacentral:tRNA from 3 species
GCCGAUGUGGUGGAAUUGGUAGACACGCUAUCUUGAGGGGGUAGUGGGGCAACCCGUGGGAGUUCGAGUCUCCCCAUCGGCACCA